GUAGUAGAGUGUUUAAUUGUUUUACAGCUGUGUAGUAAAGUAGUAGAGUUUCAUUGUUUUACAGCUGUGUAGUAAAGUAUAUCAGUAGUGUGUUUCAUUGUCUUACAGCUGUGUAGUGCGUCCAGAUCACAGUAUGCUGUAAGUCAUUUUGGCUUUCUGUUUUCCAGGUCCUAGCCAAUCUGGUGUUGGAGGAGCUUCAACCCUCUCUACAGACAGAACUGCUGGCCAGACUGAAGGGAAAGAAAGCAGGGAGGAAGAGAGUCUGGUUCACCACGUUGGAAGCCGCGUACUACCUGGUCCAGGACCAGCUGAGGGAGGGUCUGAAGGGUCUGAAGGAGGAGUGUAAAGAGACAGCCAGGUCUCAUGAAGCUCUGCUUCGUUCUGAUAUGGACCAGAUAGCCAGUUCUAGAACUUUCCUGCAGGCCAAGCUACAAGCCUCCGUCAGUGAUCCAGCAGUAAAGUUCUGCAGCGAGAACGUGUCUCCGUACCUGGCGUCCAUCUUGGAAGAGCUGAUGUCUCCGGUGACGGGGGGUUUCCAGGGGGUCCGGCUUCUCCUGGAGGGGGAGAUAAGCGCUCUCUGUCUGGGCUUCCCCGAGGGAGGGGGGCAGGAGGGGUUAA